CCUCAGGUCCGCCGCCCACCGCUGUCAACACCUCGUCCGCCUCCUCCUCCUCCCUCCAAAGGGAAGGGUAUUGUCGUCCCACCGUCCAGCAUUUUGAAUUUGGCGGCAGUUCCGAGAGACAGGACCCAGCUCCAGUCAAAUCAACUUCUCUUGGGCCCCCAACUCCUUCAGAACCUCGGCGCGGAUCAGGACCCAGAUUUGAUUGAUGUGAAGUGGGAUGGGAGAAAUCUGUCGGUGGACAGAUCCCAGUGGAUGAGAUUUCUCAAGACUCAAGGCAUUGGCGCUUCUGGUACCCUAGCCGCCCGUAGGUCAGCGGCAGACGCUAGAUCCGGUGACCAUUCAUCCUCCAGCUCCCCCAGUCUGCCGCGCCUAGCUUGUCGGCAUCAGCGCCGCCUGGAUCUGAGCAUCUUGCAGCAGGGAGAAAGAAAAGAUCAGUAUCCAAAGCCAGAGUCAGGCGUGCUCUGGCCCACAAAGCAUUCAUCCGACACCUCUCUGCCUCGAGGUCCAUAUCCUCCUCAGCAAAGCAAAGGGCCUCCACCUCCAAGAAGUCGCUCCAGAUGAAGAAGCUCAUUCGUUCGGCUGGUCUCCAAGACAUUCUUGAAUCAAGCGCUGACAGCAACACUAUGCCCUGAUCUGCUGAUAGUAAUCUUGUUUCUGUAUAUGGAUAACAGUUUUGGUUAGUUCUAAUUUUCUUUUUCUUGGUUUUGGGCUUUAGUCGGUGGUUUUUUGUUUUUUAUCUUAAGACAUCUUCUAAUGAAUGGGCCUUUCUCUCCAUCUCCGAGUCGUUGCCUCAUUCAUGAGAAGAUAUCUUCUUUUGUAAUCCCAUCUUUUGGUUUCGUUUCUAUAUAAUGAUAGGGCAAUGCCCUAUUUUCUUUAAAAAAAAAGGAGCAAAUUCUGGUGAA